UACGUAGGGGGCAAGCGUUGUCCGGAAUCAUUGGGCGUAAAGAGCGUGUAGGCGGCCGUACAGGUCAGCUGUGAAAACUCGAGGCUCAACCUCGAGACGUCGGUUGAAACCGUACGGCUAGAGUCCGGAAGAGGAGAGUGGAAUUCCCGGUGUAGCGGUGAAAUGCGCAGAUAUCGGGAAGAACACCCGUGGCGAAGGCGGCUCUCUGGGACGGUACUGACGCUGAGACGCGAAAGCUAGGGGAGCAAACAGG
rnacentral:rRNA from 1 species